GAUGAACGCUGGCGGCGUGCCUAAUACAUGCAAGUCGAGCGAACGGACGAGAAGCUUGCUUCUCUGAUGUUAGCGGCGGACGGGUGAGUAACACGUGGAUAACCUACCUAUAAGACUGGGAUAACUUCGGGAAACCGGAGCUAAUACCGGAUAAUAUUUUGAACCGCAUGGUUCAAAAGUGAAAGACGGUCUUGCUGUCACUUAUAGAUGGAUCCGCGCUGCAUUAGCUAGUUGGUAAGGUAACGGCUUACCAAGGCAACGAUGCAUAGCCGACCUGAGAGGGUGAUCGGCCACACUGGAACUGAGACACGGUCCAGACUCCUACGGGAGGCAGCAGUAGGGAAUCUUCCGCAAUGGGCGAAAGCCUGGCGGAGCAACGCCGCGUGAGUGAUGAAGGUCUUCGGAUCGUAAAACUCUGUUAUUAGGGAAGAACAUAUGUGUAAGUAACUGUGCACAUCUUGACGGUACCUAAUCAGAAAGCCACGGCUAACUACGUGCCAGCAGCCGCGGUAAUACGUAGGUGGCAAGCGUUAUCCGGAAUUAUUGGGCGUAAAGCGCGCGUAGGCGGUUUUUUAAGUCUGAUGUGAAAGCCCACGGCUCAACCGUGGAGGGUCAUUGGAAACUGGAAAACUUGAGUGCAGAAGAGGAAGGUGGAAUUCCAUGUGUAGCGGUGAAAUGCGCAGAGAUAUGGAGGAACACCAGUGGCGAAGGCGACUUUCUGGUCUGUAACUGACGCUGAUGUGCGAAAGCGUGGGGAUCAAACAGGAUUAGAUACCCUGGUAGUCCACGCCGUAAACGAUGAGUGCUAAGUGUUAGGGGGUUUCCGCCCCUUAGUGCUGCAGCUAACGCAUUAAGCACUCCGCCUGGGGAGUACGACCGCAAGGUUGAAACUCAAAGGAAUUGACGGGGACCCGCACAAGCGGUGGAGCAUGUGGUUUAAUUCGAAGCAACGCGAAGAACCUUACCAAAUCUUGACAUCCUUUGACAACUCUAGAGAUAGAGCCUUCCCCUUCGGGGGACAAAGUGACAGGUGGUGCAUGGUUGUCGUCAGCUCGUGUCGUGAGAUGUUGGGUUAAGUCCCGCAACGAGCGCAACCCUUAAGCUUAGUUGCCAUCAUUAAGUUGGGCACUCUAAGUUGACUGCCGGUGACAAACCGGAGGAAGGUGGGGAUGACGUCAAAUCAUCAUGCCCCUUAUGAUUUGGGCUACACACGUGCUACAAUGGACAAUACAAAGGGCAGCGAAACCGCGAGGUCAAGCAAAUCCCAUAAAGUUGUUCUCAGUUCGGAUUGUAGUCUGCAACUCGACUACAUGAAGCUGGAAUCGCUAGUAAUCGUAGAUCAGCAUGCUACGGUGAAUACGUUCCCGGGUCU
rnacentral:rRNA from 1 species